rnacentral:rRNA from 1 species
UCGUCAGCUCGUGUUGUGAAAUGUUGGGUUAAGUCCCGCAACGAGCGCAACCCUUAUCCUUUGUUGCCAGCGGUCCGGCCGGGAACUCAAAGGAGACUGCCAGUGAUAAACUGGAGGAAGGUGGGGAUGACGUCAAGUCAUCAUGGCCCUUACGACCAGGGCUACACACGUGCUACAAUGGCGCAUACAAAGAGAAGCGACCUCGCGAGAGCAAGCGGACCUCAUAAAGUGCGUCGUAGUCCGGAUUGGAGUCUGCAACUCGACUCCAUGAAGUCGGAAUCGCUAGUAAUCGUGGAUCAGAAUGCCACGGUGAAUACGUUCCCGGGCCUUGUACACACCGCCCGUCACACCAUGGGAGUGGGUUGCAAAAGAAGUAGGUAGCUUAACCUUCGGGAGGGCGCUUACCACUUUGUGAUUCAUGACUGGGGUGAAGUCGUAACAAGGUAGCCGUA